rnacentral:rRNA from 1 species
AUCGAACGCUGGCGGCAGGCCUAACACAUGCAAGUCGAGCGAGCGGCGGACGGGUGAGUAAUGUAUGGGGAACUGCCCGAUAGAGGGGGAUAACUACUGGAAACGGUGGCUAAUACCGCAUACUAUCGGAUGAACCCAUAUGGGAUUAGCUAGUAGGUGGGGUAAAGGCUCACCUAGGCGACGCUCCCUAGCUGGUCUGAGAGGAUGAUCCGCCACACGUGGACUGAGACACUGCCCAGACUCCUACGGGAGGCAGCAGUGGCGAAUAUUGCACUAUGGGCGCAAGCCUGAUGCAGCCAUGCCGCGUGUAUGAAGAAGGCCUUAGGGUUGUAAAGUACUUUCAGCGGGGAGGCGUUACCCGCAGAAGAAGCACCGGCUAACUCCGUGCCAGCAGCCGCGGUAAUUC